AUGAGUCUGCUAGCCUGGAACUGUCGAGGACUGGGCUUGGAUUCGAUAGUGGGCGAACUCCGCGACCUGAUUAGGUCCCACAACACAGUGGUGGUGUUUUUGAGUGAAACUAAGAAGAAGGCGGGAGUGAUGGAAAAACUCAAGUGGAGCUUGGGUUUUAGAUCUGGUGUGGCGGUGGAUUGUAAUGGCAAAAGUGGCGGGCUCGCUUUAUGGUGGAGGGAUCAUUUAGAUGUUAUAGUGAGGUCGUGGUGCCAAUAUUUCUUGGAUGCAGAAGUUGUUUGUGAAGGUAAAACCUAUAGAGUCAUUGGAUUCUAUUGGGAACCAAACACCGACCACAUGAUUAAAUCUUGGGAUGCUUUACGGUACCUGAAGAGACAGGAUAAUUUACCAUGGCCCUGUGUUGGCGAUUUCAAUGAAGCUUAG
rnacentral:rRNA from 1 species